rnacentral:rRNA from 1 species
GACGAACGCUGGCGGCGUGCCUAAUACAUGCAAGUCGAGCGAAUCUUUUGGGAGCUUGCUCCCGAAAGAUUAGCGGCGGACGGGUGAGUAACACGUGGGCAACCUGCCUAUAAGACUGGGAUAACUUCGGGAAACCGGAGCUAAUACCGGAUACGUUCUUUUCUCGCAUGAGAGAAGAUGGAAAGACGGUCUCGGCUGUCACUUAUAGAUGGGCCCGCGGCGCAUUAGCUAGUUGGUGGGGUAAUGGCUCACCAAGGCGACGAUGCGUAGCCGACCUGAGAGGGUGAUCGGCCACACUGGGACUGAGACACGGCCCAGACUCCUACGGGAGGCAGCAGUAGGGAAUCUUCCGCAAUGGACGAAAGUCUGACGGAGCAACGCCGCGUGAACGAAGAAGGCCUUCGGGUCGUAAAGUUCUGUUGUUAGGGAAGAACAAGUACCAGAGUAACUGCUGGUACCUUGACGGUACCUAACCAGAAAGCCACGGCUAACUACGUGCCAGCCGCCGCUGUAAAAC